ensembl:lncRNA
GUCAUCAGGACAUUAAGGAGUAGGGGGUAAAGGAUGGUGACUAGAUGUAGGCCAGUCAACAGGACAUUAAGGAGUAGGGGGGUAAAGGAUGGUGGUGACUAGAUGAAGACCAGACAUCAGGACAUUAAGGAGAGUAGGGGGUAAAGGAUGGUGGUGACUAGAUGAAGACCAGACAUCAGGACAUUAAGGAGUAGGGGGGGUAAAGGAUGGUGGUGACUAGAUGAAGACCAGUCAACAGGACAUUAAGGAGUAGGGGGUAAAGGAUGGUGGUGACUAGAUGAAGACCAGUCAACAGGACAUUAAGGAGUAGGGGGAUAAAGGAUGGUGGUGACUAGAUGAAGACCAGUCAUCAGGACAUUAAGGAGUAGGGGGGUAAAGGAUGGUGGUGACUAGAUGAAGACCAGUCAUCAGGACAUUAAGGAGUAGGGGGGGGUAAAGGAUGGUGG